GCUGGCGGCAUGCCUAAUACAUGCAAGUCGAACGAUGAUAUCACUGCUUGCAGUGAUUGAUUAGUGGCGAACGGGUGAGUAACACGUGAGGAACUUGCCCAUGAGCGGGGGACAACAUUCGGAAACGGAUGCUAAUACCCCAUAGGUGGAUUGGUCGCAUGACGAAUUCAUUAAAGGUGGCUUUGCUACCACUCAUGGAUAGCCUCGCGGCGUAUUAGCUAGUUGGUAAGGUAAUGGCUUACCAAGGCAGUGAUACGUAGCCGACUUGAGAGGGUGAUCGGCCACACUGGGACUGAGACACGGCCCAGACUCCUACGGGAGGCAGCAGUAGGGAAUCUUCCACAAUGGGUGCAAACCUGAUGGAGCAAUGCCGCGUGAGUGAAGAAGGUCUUCGGAUCGUAAAGCUCUGUUGUUAGAGAAGAACACGUGCUAGGUAACUACUAGCG
rnacentral:rRNA from 1 species